AUUGAACGCUGGCGGCAGGCCUAACACAUGCAAGUCGAACGGGUCGCGUACGGGUGAUUUAUGUCUGUGAAUCUUCCUGAUGGAUGGGUAUUACUACUGGUAACUGUAGCUAAUUCCGCAUACCUUUACCUGUGCCCAGUUGGGUGUAGCUAGUUGGUGGGGUAACGGCUCACCAAGGCGACGAUCCCUAGCUGGUCUGAGAGGAUGACCAGCCACACUGGAACUGAGACACGGUCCAGAAUCCUACGGGAGGCAGCAGUGGGGAAUAUUGCACAAUGGGCGCAAGCCUGAUGCAGCCAUGCCGCGUGUAUGAAGAAGGCCUUCGGGUUGUAAAGUACUUUCAGCGGGGAGGCGUUACCCGCAGAAGAAGCACCGGCUAACUCCGUGCCAGCAGCCGCGGUAAUAC
rnacentral:rRNA from 1 species